rnacentral:misc_RNA from 1 species
AAGUCGUAACAAGGUUUCCCUGAGGUGAACCUGCGCAAGGAUCAUGAACGUAUUCAACGUUAAAACAACCCCGUGAACUUUCAGCUUGUAGGGCAAAUCAUUGUUGCAGCUUUUGAGUCAGGGACCUCUGCCGAUUGUGUUAUUUUAGAGCUAGUUGAGCGAUUGCAUCUAGUAAGUAAUCAGUGUCUGAAAGUGUCAUUGAUUAUGUAAGGAUGGCGCAGUCACGAUCGCUGUAGGCCACAACUUACGCACCAAAAACUGAACAACUGUUAAUC